rnacentral:tRNA from 1 species
GCGCCCGUAGCUCAACUGGAUAGAGCAUUGCCCUUCUAAGGCAAGGGUUACAGGUUCGACUCCUGUUGGGCGCACCA